rnacentral:rRNA from 1 species
UAAUAGCGUAUAUUAAAGUUGUUGCAGUUAAAAAGCUCGUAGUCGGAUGUCGGGCUCGGGCAGGCUGUCGGCUUCGGUCGGACGGCAGGCUCGGGUCUUUCUGCCUGAGGAUCCCGUUGCACUUAAUUGUGGGGCGUGGGGACGCAGGCCGUUUACUUUGAAAAAAUUAGAGUGUUCAAAGCAGGCCUACGCUUGAAUACAUUAGCAUGGAAUAAUAAUAUAGGAUCUGAUGCCUAUUUUGUUGGUUUCUAGGUGUUAGAUAAUGAUUAAUAGGGACAAUUGGGGGCAUUCGUAUUAUGGCGUCAGAGGUGGAAUUCUUGGAUUGCCAUACGACGAACUACUGCAAAAGCAUUUGCCAAGGAUGUUUUCAUUGAUCAAGAACGAAAGUAAGGGGAUCGAAGACGAUUAGAU